rnacentral:rRNA from 1 species
UGGCGGACGGGUGAGUAAUGUCUGGGAAACUGCCCGAUGGAGGGGGAUAACUACUGGAAACGGUAGCUAAUACCGCAUAACGUCGCAAGACCAAAGAGGGGGACCUUCGGGCCUCUUGCCAUCGGAUGUGCCCAGAUGGGAUUAGCUAGUAGGUGGGGUAACGGCUCACCUAGGCGACGAUCCCUAGCUGGUCUGAGAGGAUGACCAGCCACGCUGGAACUGAGACACGGUCCAG